GUGGAUCCGGGCGGUGAGGGCUGAACAGCCCUGGGGUGUGGGGAGACAAAGGGAUCCAAGUCGUGUCUUUCCUGCUUUGGGAAUCGGUGUCCCGGCUGUCUGUGGAACAUCAGAGAAGGUAUGGACUCUGAGCCACAGAAACAGGAUCCAGUAGAGAAGAACCAAGUGUGAUGUUGAAUCUGCUAGAGAGGUUCCUGGAGCAAGAGUGAAGAGAUCAGGCCCCAUCCCUGGGACAUUUCAGUUUGAUAUGAGUGAAGCAGUUUCUUAUUGAGCCCCAGGAAGAAGAAAUAGUGCAGAAGAGAAGGAAUAAUAAUGGGUCAGCUAGACAGAAGAUGAGAAUCAUCAAACAUGUGUCCCAGUAGCCAGACCUAUCAACAGAGCACAGGACCUUGGGUGCUGGCUACCUGAUGGAAAGGAGGAAGGAAGAAACAUAAGGAGAACAAAUACACAUUCACAUCUCAACAUUGUGACCUGCCAUAUAUGCCUUCCUUGCCGUGUGUAUUCUCUUGCAGAGCUACUAAAAUGGACACAAUCAUUAUUUUUAGCUUAUGUGCAGUAGGGAGCACUAACACAUUCUGCAGAUACUAUUUUCAACCCUUUUUUCCCUGAUGUCUUCAAAGGCUUAGUUUCCCAAGUGCCAUCUAGCUCAAAGUUCAGGCCUAAUGUACUGGCUUUCAUUCAGUUACUCAUGUAGGCCUGUGUAUCUAGAAUCUAAUCUGUAGCAUCCUGGUGAAAUUUAGUUUUUCUGUUUCCAGACUACUACCCAUAUCCCUUGAUUGGCUUAAGGAUGCAUCCCAUUUUGAACUUGAUCUGAUUUUGUAUUACAAGUGCUGGGCAUGUGUAUAUUUUCCUUGCCUUUUAUUAUUCUUAAUUGCACAAGGAAGGUGAUUCAGUGGUGUUUUAAUAUGCAUGUGUUGAUUGCUCCUGAAUAAGCCUGUGACUAAACUUUAACCCUGAA